AGAGUUUGAUCCUGGCUCAGAAUAAACGUUGGCGGCGUGCCUAACACAUGCAAGUCGAGCGAGAAAGUUCCUUCGGGAACGAGUAGAGCGGCGGACGGGUGAGUAUCGCGUGAGAAUCUGCCCUUUAGUGAAGAAUACCUUCGAGAAAUCGAAGUUAAUACUGCAUACGUCCCUUCGGGGAGAAAGAUGGCCUCUUGCUGUCGCUAAAGGAUGAGCUUGCGUACUAUUAGCUAGUUGGUGAGGUAAAGGCUCACCAAGGCGAUGAUGGUUAGCCGGCCUGAGAGGGUGUACGGCCACACUGGAACUUAGACACGGUCCAGACUCCUACGGGAGGCAGCAGUGAGGAAUAUUGCGCAAUGGGCGAAAGCCUGACGCAGCGACGCCGCGUGGAGGAUGACGGUCUUAGGAUUGUAAACUCCUGUUAAGCGGGAAGAAAGGUCCCUGUCUAAUAAAUAGGGAAGAUGACGGUACCGCUAGAGAAAGCACCGGCUAACUUCGUGCCAGCAGCCGCGGUAAUACGAAGGGUGCGAACGUUAUUCGGAAUCAUUGGGCGUAAAGGGUGCGUAGACGGCAUAGAAAGUUGGCUGUUAAAUCCCCCGGCCUAACCGGGGACCAGCAGUCAAAACUCCUAAGCUAGAGGAUAGAAGAAAGAAGUGGAAUUCUCGGAGUAGCGGAAAAAUGCGUAGAUAUCGAGAGGAACCCCGAUGGCGAAGGCAGCUUCUUAGUUUAUUCCUGACGUUGAGGCACGAAAGCGUGGGUAGCAAACAGGAUUAGAUACCCUGGUAGUCCACGCUGUAAACGAUGAUCACUAGACGUUGGUUCUGCUUAGCAGAAUUAGUGUCGUAGCUAACGCGAUAAGUGAUCCGCCUGGGGAGUACGGUCGCAAGACUAAAACUUAAAGAAAUUGACGGGGGUCCGCACAAGCGGUGGAACAUGUGGUUUAAUUCGACACUACGCGAGAAACCUUACCUAGGCUUGACAUGUUUUUGACUGUCGUAGAAAUGCGAUUUUCCAAGUCUUUGACUUGGACAAAUUCACAGGUGCUGCAUGGCUGUCGUCAGCUCGUGUCGUGAGAUGUUGGGUUAAGUCCUUUAACGAGCGCAACUCUUGCCGCCAGUUGCUAUUUCGCAAGAAAGCACUCUGGUGGGACUGCCUGGGAAACCAGGAGGAAGGUGGGAAUGACGUCAAGUCAUCAUGGUCCUUAUGCCUAGGGCAACACACGUGUUACAAUGGCUAGUACAAAGGGUUGCCAACCUGUAAAGGUGAGCUAAUCCCAUAAAGCUAGUCCAAGUUCGGAUUGAGGUCUGCAACUCGACCUCAUGAAGUUGAAAUCGCUAGUAAUCGUGCAUCAGAACGGCACGGUGAAUACGUUCUCGGGCCUUGUACACACCGCCCGUCACACCACGAAGGCUGUUUGUACCCAAAGUCAUCUUAGCUGACCCGUAAGGGAUGCGGAUGCCCAAGGUAUGGAUGGUGAUUGGGGUGAAGUCGUAACAAGGUA
rnacentral:rRNA from 1 species